GUUACUCUGACAGAAUUUAUGUAAUGGAUUUAGGAUCCAUUGAUGUAGGUGUAACCCCUACGAGUAACU
rnacentral:tRNA from 1 species